rnacentral:rRNA from 1 species
UACGUAGGGUGCAAGCGUUAAUCGGAAUUACUGGCGUAAAGCGUGCGCAGGCGGUUUUGUAAGACUGUCGUGAAAUCCCCGGGCUCAACCUGGGAAUGGCGAUGGUGACUGCAAGGCUAGAGUUUGGCAGAGGGGGGUAGAAUUCCACGUGUAGCAGUGAAAUGCGUAGAUAUGUGGAGGAACACCGAUGGCGAAGGCAGCCCCCUGGGCCAACACUGACGCUCAGGCACGAAAGCGUGGGGAGCAAACAGG